UGGGAACAGCCAGGAUCCCCUCCGCACGGGAGAACAGCUCUAGACGCGCAGAGGGGCGGAGUCCAAACGGGUGCCAUCACCGACCUGUCUACAAGCAACAUUGUAACAUAUUUCUGAGCCCAUCACAUGGAUAAUGUGACCCUUCUCUUUUUGUCCUGCCCCAAGUGAAGAUUGUGACAUGUCACCAGGCCCUUUGUCUAGGCAAUAUGACUCUUCUCUCCUGUCUGGGCCCUGAUUACAAGGGGGAUUGUGACAAUCACUGGGCCCAUCAUGUAGAUAAUAAGAGUUUCUCUUCCUGCCUGGGCCUUUUCUACAGAAAAGAUUAAGACAUCACUGGGCCAAGCACCCACAUGAUGUCACUCGCCUGCCUGCAUUCUGCCUACAGUGGGUAUUGUGACAUAUCCCUGGCACAGAACCAAGGUAACGUGACUCACCUACCUGGUUCCUGCCCACUGAUGGGAUUGUGACAUAUACCUAGGUCCAGCUCACAGGCAUGAUGAUAACUGUCAUACGUGGACCCAGCCAAUAAGAGAUUUUUGCUCUUAGGCUUAUUACAACAGAGUCUCGCUCUGUCACUCAGGCUGGAGUGCAGUGGCAUGAUCUCAGCCCGCUGCAACCUUCGCCUUCCAGGUUCAAGCAGUUCUCCUGCCUCAGCUCUUGGACAAAACUUCAGCACUCCUGCUAGGGUGUGUCUGCCCUACUAAGACACUGUGCGCAGGUGGAGUUGAGGCUCUUAUGUAUGGAUCCUGUCCACUGUUGAGAUUGUGAAUUGCAUGUGUAGACUCAACUCACAGGAGGUGUUGACUCACAAACCUCCAGCUGGGACAUGUGCAGGAUUAGAAAUUUUAUUUCUGGAUCUUUCUUCAGGCCCAGCUUACAGAAGGCAUUGUGACAGAUCUCUGGGCUCAUUACCUAGGAGAUGUGACUCUACACUGCCGGUUGGGCCGAGCCCCACUGAAGAUUGUGACAUAUUACUGAGCCCAUAAACUAGAAGGCGUUGUAACAUCUCACUAAGCCCAGCACUCAGGCGAUGUGGCUUUCCUGCUAUGGCACUGCACACAAGAAGAAUGUUGACAUAUUCCUGGCCCAGAAUUCAGGUGGUUUGGUGACUCUCAAACCAUGAUUCAGCAGACCUGUGAGGCUGUGAGUUCCCUAUCAGAACACAAUCUGCAGGUUGUAUUGUGCCAUAUACCUGGGACCAAAUUACAAGCACAAUGAUGAAUCUUUUACCUGGAGUCAAGACAUGGGCAGGAUGAUGGAACUUAUCACUGGACCUUUCCACAGUGUUAUUGUGACAUAUGCCUUUGCCCAACAUGUGGUGAUUUGACUCCCCAGACUGGGUCCAGUUCACAAAUAAAAUUGUGCCGUAUACUUGGCCAAGAACCUAA
rnacentral:lncRNA from 1 species